GUGCCAUUCGUAGGAAACCAUGACCUAAUCCGGGGAGCCCGUUAAUACUUAACCCUUGCCUGUCCAGUCUGUUUCCGUAUGCCAGCCGGCUGACCUGAGCCUUCACGUCGCAGGCCAUCCUUGGCGGUCACACUGGUGACCUUGCGGCUCCUCCCUGCACUCUGCUGCGGCUUCGGGGUGUUGCAGGCAUCUCUUGGGUUCCCACAAAGCUCUCUCACCCCAAGCAGCCUGGAGGACGUAAGCGUUCGGUAGCCCUGCGGUCCUCGGUCUCCCUAACACUGUAGGCCAUGUGGUUGUGGAACGAAGUUCUAGACCCCAGAGUCUCCCUGCCAGCUGAAGGCCGUGGGUGCGCCUGUCUCUCUGCGGACUUGGACAUCUCCUCCCCGAAAGAUGGAACUUGGACCUGGGAGUGGCUCCUGUUCCUGCCUGCUGGGAAGGUCCCUCACCUGGCCUUUGAGGUCGGCGUCCACGGGCGUCCCUUGCCUUCGGGACUGGCUCUCCUGUUUAGACAGGGUGGACUGUGCCAGCCGGGGCACACACAUGUAUGGUUUAGGUUCGGGCAUAGGGUCCGUAGGGUCGCAUAGUUGGGACAGGACAAGAACGGAAGAGUUGUUAGCAAGUAGUAGGAUUUUUAGGGACCCGUGGUUACCGCAGCUCCAUGAAGGGAAACUGCACGGGGGAUGAUGUAGCAAGGUGAAGUUCAGUAGCGACCACGUGAAGACUCUAGUGGGCCUCUGAGUACGGGGCAGCUUCCUAGCCGUUCUGGAGCCCUGGGUGUGGAUGGGGAUGUGCCCAGGAGCUGGCAGCCUGUUCUGUGAUGUGCCUGCCAAAAAGCGCUGCGUUAAUAGAGGUGUAACGUGUAAAAAA